GGGCUUGUAGAUCAGUGGUAGAUCGCCGCCUUCGCAAGGCGGAGGCCGCGGGUCCGAAUCCCGCCAAGUCCA
rnacentral:tRNA from 1 species